rnacentral:rRNA from 1 species
UACGGAGGAUCCAAGCGUUAUCCGGAUUUAUUGGGUUUAAAGGGUGCGUAGGCGGAUUGAUAAGUUAGAGGUGAAAUGUCCGAGCUCAACUCGGGAACUGCCUCUAAUACUGUUGAUCUAGAGAGUAGAUGCGGUAGGCGGAAUGUAUGGUGUAGCGGUGAAAUGCUUAGAUAUCACGAAGAACCCCGAUUGCGAAGGCAGCCUGCCGCAGCGUUACUGACGCUGAAGCUCGAAAGCGCGAGUAUCGAACAGG